GGAGCAUGUGGUUUAAUUCGAUGAUACGCGAGGAACCUUACCAAGACUUAAAUGGGAAUUGACAGGUUUAGAAAUAGACUCUCCUUCGGGCAAUUUUCAAGGUGCUGCAUGGUUGUCGUCAGCUCGUGCCGUGAGGUGUUAGGUUAAGUCCUGCAACGAGCGCAACCCCUGUCACUAGUUGCUAACAUUUAGUUGAGGACUCUAGUGAGACUGCCUACGCAAGUAGAGAGGAAGGUGGGGAUGACGUCAAAUCAUCACGGCCCUUACGUCUUGGGCCACACACGUAAUACAAUGGCCGGUACAGAGGGCAGCUACACAGCGAUGUGAUGCAAAUCUCGAAAGCCGGUCUCAGUUCGGAUUGGAGUCUGCAACUCGACUCUANGAAG
rnacentral:rRNA from 1 species